rnacentral:ncRNA from 1 species
UUUCUCUCAGGCUAGCAGAAGCUUUUAAAUAUUUUGUGAGGGAAAGCCAUGGAUUUUAUGAGGUGAAGGGAUUAGAUCUUGGGGUCGAAAUGACCUCAGCGUAUUCUUAAAUUUCAAGCAUGUGAGAAGUCUCUAUUGCUUCAUUGAACGCGGACAUUUAAAUGCAAAGCUUUUAGCAGGUCACUUUCGAGCACAACGGGCAAUGCGGCAUGAACCG